UCUCCAUACCCCAUCCGGUAUGAGACAGCAUACAUGAUAGGGUUCUCUAUGUACCCGAUCAGUCCACAAUCUCUUAGAAUAUCUAGUAAAGUUGUCGUUUCACUAUUCAUUAAAAUCACACAAUUUUCUUACCGUUUAACAUUCCUUUUUUUCUGAGUUAGCAGUAAACACAUCAAUUAAACAUACAUGCGUUCAAGUCCAUAA
rnacentral:lncRNA from 1 species